rnacentral:rRNA from 1 species
UACGAAGGGGGGCUAGCGUUGCUCGGAAUCACUGGGCGUAAAGCGCACGUAGGCGGCUUCUUAAGUCAGGGGUGAAAUCCUGGAGCUCAACUCCAGAACUGCCUUUGAUACUGAGGAGCUUGAAUCCGGGAGAGGGAUGUGGAAUUCCAGGUGUAGCGGUGAAAUGCGUAGAUAUCUGGAGGAACACCGGUGGCGAAGGCGGCAUCCUGGACCGACACUGACGCUGAGGAGCGAAAGCCAGGGGAGCAAACGGG